rnacentral:tRNA from 1 species
AGUCACUUAGCUUAUAUAAUAAAGCAAAUAUUUUGAAAAUAUUAGAAAGAGAAAUUUAGUGACUU